rnacentral:rRNA from 1 species
UUAAGCGACUAAGCGUACACGGUGGAUGCCCUGGCAGUCAGAGGCGAUGAAGGACGUGCUAAUCUGCGAUAAGCGUCGGUAAGGUGAUAUGAACCGUUAUAACCGGCGAUUUCCGAAUGGGGAAACCCAGUGUGUUUCGACACACUAUCAUUAACUGAAUCCAUAGGUUAAUGAGGCGAACCGGGGGAACUGAAACAUCUAAGUACCCCGAGGAAAAGAAAUCAACCGAGAUUCCCCCAGUAGCGGCGAGCGAACGGGGAGCAGUCCAGAGCCUGAAUCAGUGUGUGUGUUAGUGGAAGCGUCUGGAAAGGCGCGCGAUACAGGGUGACAGCCCCGUACACAAAAAUGCACAUACUGUGAGCUCGAUGAGUAGGGCGGGACACGUGGUAUCCUGUCUGAAUAUGGGGGGACCAUCCUCCAAGGCUAAAUACUCCUGACUGACCGAUAGUGAACCAGUACCGUGAGGGAAAGGCGAAAAGAACCCCGGCGAGGGGAGUGAAAAAGAACCUGAAACCGUGUACGUACAAGCAGUGGGAGCACGCUUAGGCGUGUGACUGCGUACCUUUUGUAUAAUGGGUCAGCGACUUAUAUUCUGUAGCAAGGUUAACCGAAUAGGGGAGCCGAAGGGAAACCGAGUCUUAACUGGGCGUUAAGUUGCAGGGUAUAGACCCGAAACCCGGUGAUCUAGCCAUGGGCAGGUUGAAGGUUGGGUAACACUAACUGGAGGACCGAACCGACUAAUGUUGAAAAAUUAGCGGAUGACUUGUGGCUGGGGGUGAAAGGCCAAUCAAACCGGGAGAUAGCUGGUUCUCCCCGAAAGCUAUUUAGGUAGCGCCUCGUGAAUUCAUCUCCGGGGGUAGAGCACUGUUUCGGCAAGGGGGUCAUCCCGACUUACCAACCCGAUGCAAACUGCGAAUACCGGAGAAUGUUAUCACGGGAGACACACGGCGGGUGCUAACGUCCGUCGUGAAGAGGGAAACAACCCAGACCGCCAGCUAAGGUCCCAAAGUCAUGGUUAAGUGGGAAACGAUGUGGGAAGGCCCAGACAGCCAGGAUGUUGGCUUAGAAGCAGCCAUCAUUUAAAGAAAGCGUAAUAGCUCACUGGUCGAGUCGGCCUGCGCGGAAGAUGUAACGGGGCUAAACCAUGCACCGAAGCUGCGGCAGCGACGCUUAUGCGUUGUUGGGUAGGGGAGCGUUCUGUAAGCCUGCGAAGGUGUGCUGUGAGGCAUGCUGGAGGUAUCAGAAGUGCGAAUGCUGACAUAAGUAACGAUAAAGCGGGUGAAAAGCCCGCUCGCCGGAAGACCAAGGGUUCCUGUCCAACGUUAAUCGGGGCAGGGUGAGUCGACUCCUAAGGCGAGGCCGAAAGGCGUAGUCGAUGGGAAACAGGUUAAUAUUCCUGUACUUGGUGUUACUGCGAAGGGGGGACGGAGAAGGCUAUGUUGGCCGGGCGACGGUUGUCCCGGUUUAAGCGUGUAGGCUGGUUUUCCAGGCAAAUCCGGAAAAUCAAGGCUGAGGCGUGAUGACGAGGCACUACGGUGCUGAAGCAACAAAUGCCCUGCUUCCAGGAAAAGCCUCUAAGCAUCAGGUAACAUCAAAUCGUACCCCAAACCGACACAGGUGGUCAGGUAGAGAAUACCAAGGCGCUUGAGAGAACUCGGGUGAAGGAACUAGGCAAAAUGGUGCCGUAACUUCGGGAGAAGGCACGCUGAUAUGUAGGUGAAGUCCCUCGCGGAUGGAGCUGAAAUCAGUCGAAGAUACCAGCUGGCUGCAACUGUUUAUUAAAAACACAGCACUGUGCAAACACGAAAGUGGACGUAUACGGUGUGACGCCUGCCCGGUGCCGGAAGGUUAAUUGAUGGGGUUAGCGCAAGCGAAGCUCUUGAUCGAAGCCCCGGUAAACGGCGGCCGUAACUAUAACGGUCCUAAGGUAGCGAAAUUCCUUGUCGGGUAAGUUCCGACCUGCACGAAUGGCGUAAUGAUGGCCAGGCUGUCUCCACCCGAGACUCAGUG